AUUGAACGCUGGCGGCAGGCCUAACACAUGCAAGUCGAGCGGAUGAGAGGAGCUUGCUCCUUGAUUCAGCGGCGGACGGGUGAGUAAUGCCUAGGAAUCUGCCUGGUAGUGGGGGAUAACGUUCCGAAAGGAACGCUAAUACCGCAUACGUCCUACGGGAGAAAGCAGGGGACCUUCGGGCCUUGCGCUAUCAGGUGAGCCUAGGUCGGAUUAGCUAGUUGGUGAGGUAAUGGCUCACCAAGGCGACGAUCCGUAACUGGUCUGAGAGGAUGAUCAGUCACACUGGAACUGAGACACGGUCCAGACUCCUACGGGAGGCAGCAGUGGGGAAUAUUGGACAAUGGGCGAAAGCCUGAUCCAGCCAUGCCGCGUGUGUGAAGAAGGUCUUCGGAUUGUAAAGCACUUUAAGUUGGGAGGAAGGGCAGUAAGUUAAUACCUUGCUGUUUUGACGUUACCAACAGAAUAAGCACCGGCUAACUUCGUGCCAGCCGCCGCCGUAACAC
rnacentral:rRNA from 1 species